CCUACGGGGGGCAGCAGUGAGGAAUAUUGGUCAAUGGACGAGAGUCUGAACCAGCCAAGUAGCGUGAAGGAUGACUGCCCUAUGGGUUGUAAACUUCUUUUAUAUGGGAAUAAAAUGUUCCACGUGUGGGAUUUUGUAUGUACCAUAUGAAUAAGGAUCGGCUAACUCCGUGCCAGCAGCCGCGGUAAUACGGAGGAUCCGAGCGUUAUCCGGAUUUAUUGGGUUUAAAGGGUGCGUAGGUGGAUUGUUAAGUCAGUUGUGAAAGUUUGCGGCUCAACCGUAAAAUUGCAGUUGAAACUGGCAGUCUUGAGUACAGUAGAGGUGGGCGGAAUUCGUGGUGUAGCGGUGAAAUGCUUAGAUAUCACGAAGAACUCCGAUUGCGAAGGCAGUUCACUGGACUGCAACUGACACUGAGGCUCGAAAGUGUGGGUAUCAAACAGGAUUAGAUACCCUUGUAGUC
rnacentral:rRNA from 1 species